rnacentral:misc_RNA from 1 species
GAUGAAGAACGUAGCGAAAUGCGAUACUUGGUGUGAAUUGCAGAAUCCCGUGAACCAUCGAGUCUUUGAACGCAAGUUGCGCCCGAAGCCAUUAGGCCGAGGGCACGCCUGCCUGGGCGUCACACGUCGUUGCCCCCCAUCUACCCCUUCGGGAUUGCGGGGGGCGGAUGAUGGCCUCCCGUGCGCCUCGUCGCGCGGUUGGCAUAAAUGCCAAGUCCUCGGCGACGCACGCCACGACAAUCGGUGGUUGCGAAACCUCGGUUGCCCGUCGUGUGCGGUCGUCGCGCAUCGAGGGCUCGAAAAAAUUGCCGGGCUCCGGCUCGGCUUUCAACGCGACCCCAGGUCAGGCGGGGUUACCCGCUGAAUUUAAGCAUAUCAAUAAGCGGAGGA